UAUGCAAAAAUUUCAAAGAGAAGAAAGAAUCGAACCCUAAAGCGAAGGCGACGAGGUUUCUCAGGAACUUUGGAAAUCCGGCGAAACUCCGGCGGUGGUGACGAUUUCAGGUAUCUAUCCCUUCUUUCGUCCUCGCUUGUUUGUCAUUGUUGUUUGCAUACGAUUGAUAGGGUCAAGCUCUUCAAACCCUGAUUUUCAGUGUGAAAAUCAGAGCUGAAAUACAGAAUUUUAGCGGAGCUUUUCAGUGUAAGGUUCGUUUGGGAUUUCAACAGAAUGACGGUAUUUUCUCCCCUUUUGCAGUGAUUGGAGUGCUCUUUAUAUAGAGCGAAAAACGGUUCUCUUUGAAUCAUGAGCUGGCCAAGAUCUGUAGAAUCAAUCCGUUAACAAUACAAUCUUCAUCAGAUUCGUGGGGACCAUUUUGCAUAUCAGUUUGUUAGGAGAAAAAUUCGCCCUUGGUGUGUAAGGAGCGAAAAAUCUCUCUUUGUGCUUUUGUGGUCCUAUUAAUCUAUGCUGUCUUACUGCGCUUUUUUUUACCGCCGUAAAUUGUGAAUUUUGUUGCUUGUAAAAAGAUGGUUACUGCUAUGAAUGUCCUUAAUUUUUGGUUUGAAAUACUGUUGGGUUGAUCUGUGAUGUCUGUUGGUUGCUUAUAAAUGGUGUUAUUUGCUAGCUAGGUAGAUGCAUGGAUAUGGCUUGGAUGUUUCUACUCCUGACUGUAGAGGUGGCUCAAGAUAGAAAUGCAGGGUUUCAAGCCAUCACCAUUAUUCUACAGUAGGCUACGCAAUGUGGUAUCCUAUUAUGAUUGAGGUUUCGCAACAUAAAGCUCGCCUUGACAUGGCUCAUGCUUCCAUUCGCCAUUGUGUCCUGGUUAUUUUGCAUUAGUUGGUACGGCCUGCUUUGACUCGUUUCCAUUUCGAAGAGCUGUGCCUGCUAUAACUAUCUUCAUGCUUGAACGUCAUCUUGGCAUUGAUGACAUUGCAUCCAAUUGAGGGUGAUAAAGCUCUUUGAUCCAAAAACCUGUGUGAGGAAUUUUAUCCUGUAAUUGAUCUAUGUUUGUAAUGUGAUGGUAUGUUUAGUUUAGGUUUUUGUUUUAUCAGCCGCUGUACCAUCCACUGUAAGGUUAUUAAUGCCAAUUCUGGUUCAAUUUAGGAAAAAGUAGCAUGGACAUCAUGUAUCAGUUUGAGAAUUAAUAAGUAUUUUGAUGAUUGAUUUUGAUGUUGCCUGG
rnacentral:lncRNA from 1 species